GAGUUGUCCUAAGUCUCUCUCUCUCUCUCUCUCUCUCUCUCUCUCUCUCUCUCUCUCUCUCUCCUGCCAUCUAUAUCAAUAGAUGGAUAGAUAACCAGCCUACACACACACACACACAGAGAGAGAGAGAGAGAGAGAGAGAGAGAGAGAGAGAGAGAUCUUUAUAUCAU
rnacentral:miRNA from 1 species